GACGAACGCUGGCGGCGUGCUUAACACAUGCAAGUCGAACGGUAAGGCCCUUCGGGGUACACGAGUGGCGAACGGGUGAGUAACACGUGGGUGAUCUGCCCUGCACUUCGGGAUAAGCCUGGGAAACUGGGUCUAAUACCGGAUAGGACCACUGCCUGCAUGGGGGGUGGUGGAAAGCUUUUGCGGUGUGGGAUGGGCCCGCGGCCUAUCAGCUUGUUGGUGGGGUGAUGGCCUACCAAGGCGACGACGGGUAGCCGGCCUGAGAGGGUGACCGGCCACACUGGGACUGAGAUACGGCCCAGACUCCUACGGGAGGCAGCAGUGGGGAAUAUUGCACAAUGGGCGCAAGCCUGAUGCAGCGACGCCGCGUGAGGGAUGACGGCCUUCGGGUUGUAAACCUCUUUCAGCACAGACGAAGCGCAAGUGACGGUAGGUGCAGAAGAAGGACCGGCCAACUACGUGCCAGCCGCCGCAGUAA
rnacentral:rRNA from 1 species